AUUUGUUUUUAUCCCAAUAUUAUAGUCUAUAAAUACUAAUCACCCAAAGUUCAUCGCUUCCAACUCUUAUAAAUAAGAGAAGACAAAGAGAUACUACAUACUAAUGGCUAAGAUGCCAAGUUCAUCGAAGCUCCUUGCGGUGAUGAUUUUCUCAUUCAUGGCGCUUUUCAUAAUAUCCCAAGCUCGAACCCUUUCUCCUGGUAGGAAAUUAACUCAGUACCCGGCUCCAUCGUACGGAUCAUACACUCCUGUUCCUCCUGGAUGUUUUAAUCCACCUGGUUGUCGUCCAUGAGAGUUUAAAUUUGGGUCACAUGAACUAUUAGCAAACAAAUAAGGUGAUGUAUUAUGUAUAUGGGUUAUGGGUAUCUUCAUAUAUAUCAUGAUUUUCUGGGGAAUAAAAUGCUUGUGAGAUCCAUGUUAUAAAUACAAUAUGUUGCAGUUUGUAAUGGAUAAGUGAUAUUUAUGUUUCUUUUGUUUGGUCAUCAUGAUGUCUCUGUUUAAUGAACAAAAGUUAACAUAAUUA